rnacentral:rRNA from 1 species
UACAGAGGUCUCGAGCGUUGUUCGGAUUUAUUGGGCGUAAAGGGCGCGUAGGCGGCGGGGUAAGUCUGGUGUGAAAUCUCGGAGCUCAACUCCGAAAUUGCACUGGAUACUGCUCUGCUAGAGGGCUGGAGAGGAGAUCGGAAUUCACGGUGUAGCAGUGAAAUGCGUAGAUAUCGUGAGGAAGACCAGUGGCGAAGGCGGAUCUCUGGACAGCUCCUGACGCUGAGGCGCGAAGGCUAGGGGAGCAAACAGG